rnacentral:rRNA from 1 species
CCUACGGGGGGCAGCAGUGGGGGAUAUUGCACAAUGGGGGAAACCCUGAUGCAGCGACGCCGCGUGUGGGAAGACGGUCCUCUGGAUUGUAAACCACUGUCCCCAGGGACGAAGAUGACGGUAUCUGGGGAGGAAGCUCCGGCUAACUCCGUGCCAGCAGCCGCGGUAAUACGUAGGUAGCGAGCGUUGUCCGGAGUUACUGGGUGUAAGGGAAGCGUAGGCGGGGAUGCAAGUUGGGGGUCAAAACUACGGGCUAAACUGGUAGUCGCACUCAAAACUGCAGCUCUUGAGUGAAGUAGAGGCAGGCGGAAUUCCGAGUGUAGCGGUGAAAUGCGUAGAGAUGAGGAGGAACACCAGUGGCGAAGGCGGCCUGCUGGGCUUUUACUGACGCUGAGGCUCGAAAGUGUGGGGAGCAAACAGGAUUAGAUACCCGUGUAGUC